rnacentral:lncRNA from 10 species
GAAAUAGGGUGAGUUGUGGGUCUGAGUUGCAGGGUGAAGUCAUAGGUGAGGACAGGGUGCAUUCUAGGAGGUGCAUUCUAGGACAGGGCAGUGCAUUCUAGGAGGGUGUCAGUCAUGAGGAAGCGAUGGUUUGGGGACAGGUGAUUAGCCAGACUUCAUUCUUGGGCAGCUAGAACCUGCUGGGAGGUGAAAGAGAUGGCAUUCUAGGCUAGAAUGAAAAGUGCAGGAUGAGAUCACAGGGCAGAGACAGCAGGUAGAGUAUGAAUGUGUGCACUGGGCUGUGAGCUGCUUCUGGCCUGGAUGGGUCAAGAGAGCCCUUAAAGAGGUGGACAGGGAGAGUUCUGGGGGAUAUGCAUCUUCCUCCUCUGGGCGUUGGGGAUUGACUCCUCCUUGUCUGUGCUGUGUUCAUUUGUGGUAAGUUAGGAAACAUCUGCCUUUAGCGGAACCAGAGGUAAAAGGCGGGAGAGAAGGUGAAAGGGAGAGGACAAGGUUGAUGAGUUUGAUAGUUACCUGUGAGGCCCAGUUAGUCUUCCUGUCCAGACAUUUAGGUGGGCUGGGGCUGGGGCUGGGACCAGGACCAAGGAAGGAAAAUAGAGAUGCUGGGAAGUAGGGCCUGGAUUAUCAGGGCUGAGGGAUUGAUGAUUAAAGAGGGGCCCGGCUAGGCCAAGGUGAGGAAUAGGAGGGGACCAGGAAGAGAAAUCACUUGAUGAGCAGUUGUCAUAGGAAGUGCAGUUAGUAACUGUUAAGCUAUCCGGACUCAGCCAAUUGGUUCCAAACUCUACUGAUAGGUCUACUGCUCCCUCUUCUAUCCUUUAGUCAUUCUUACAGGGUUGUUUCAAAGAUCAGAUGAGAUAGUAUAUAACGUGCUUACUACAUUGCUGUAGGUGCUCAAGUUUU